rnacentral:rRNA from 1 species
UGGGGAAUCUUGCACAAUGGGGGAAACCCUGAUGCAGCGACGCCGCGUGAGCGAUGAAGCCCUUCGGGGUGUAAAGCUCUUUCGGCAGGAACGAUAAUGACGGUACCUGAAGAAGAAGCUGCGGCUAACUACGUGCCAGCAGCCGCGGUAAUACGUAGGCAGCAAGCGUUGUUCGGAGUUACUGGGCGUAAAGAGUGUGUAGGCGGUUCUCUAAGUUCCGUGUGAAAUCUCCCGGCUCAACUGGGAGGGUGCGCGGGAAACUGGAGGGCUGGAGUAUGGGAGAGGAAAGCGGAAUUCCUGGUGUAGCGGUGAAAUGCGUAGAUAUCAGGAGGAACACCUGCGGUGUAGACAGCUUUUCUUGGACCAUCACUGACGCUGAGACACGAAAGCGUGGGUAGCAAACA